CCUACGGGAGGCAGCAGUGGGGAAUCUUGGACAAUGGGCGAAAGCCUGAUCCAGCGACGCCGCGUGGGGGAUGAAGCCCUUCGGGGUGUAAACCCCUGUUGCGAGGGAGGAAUAAGGCCUGGAGGAAAUGCCAGGCCGAUGACUGUACCUCGCGAGGAAGCCCCGGCUAACUACGUGCCAGCAGCCGCGGUAAUACGUAGGGGGCGAGCGUUACCCGGAUUCACUGGGCGUAAAGCGGGUGUAGGCGGCUCGGUAAGUCGGGUGUGAAAUCCCACAGCUCAACUGUGGAAUUGCGCCCGAAACUGCUGAGCUUGGGGCCGGUAGAGGGAGACGGAACUGCCGGUGUAGGGGUGAAAUCCGUAGAUAUCGGCAGGAACGCCGGUGGAGAAGCCGGUCUCCUGGGCCGCGCCCGACGCUGAGACCCGAAAGCUAGGGGAGCAAACC
rnacentral:rRNA from 1 species